rnacentral:rRNA from 1 species
UACGAAGGGGGCUAGCGUUGCUCGGAAUCACUGGGCGUAAAGCGCACGUAGGCGGACUCUUAAGUCGGUGGUGAAAUCCUGGAGCUCAACUCCAGAACUGCCUCCGAUACUGGGAGUCUUGAGUCUGAGAGAGGUGAGUGGAACUGCGAGUGUAGAGGUGAAAUUCGUAGAUAUUCGCAAGAACACCAGUGGCGAAGGCGGCUCACUGGCCCGGUACUGACGCUGAGGUGCGAAAGCGUGGGGAGCAAACAGG